rnacentral:tRNA from 1 species
GGAGGGAUGGCAGAGCGGACGAAUGCGAAGCUCUUGAAAAGCUUUGGGCCAAAAGCCCCGUGGGUUCGAAUCCCACUCCCUCCGCCA